CAGGGCUUGACAUGCGCAGGAAUGUCGUGGAAACACGGCAGCCCUUCGGGGCCUGUGCACAGGUGGUGCAUGGCUGUCGUCAGCUCGUGUCGUGAGAUGUUGGGUUAAGUCCCGCAACGAGCGCAACCCUCGCCCUUAGUUGCCAUCAUUCAGUUGGGCACUCUAAGGGGACUGCCGGUGAUAAGCCGCGAGGAAGGUGGGGAUGACGUCAAGUCCUCAUGGCCCUUACGGGCUGGGCUACACACGUGCUACAAUGGCGGUGACAGUGGGAUGCAAUGGAGCAAUCCUGCGCAAAUCUCAAAAAGCCGUCUCAGUUCGGAUUGUGCUCUGCAACUCGAGCACAUGAAGUUGGAAUCGCUAGUAAUCGUGGAUCAGCACGCUGCGGUGAAUACGUUCCC
rnacentral:rRNA from 1 species